rnacentral:rRNA from 1 species
CGCAAUCGCCCUUCGGGGUGCCCAGGCGCGAAAACUUUGCAAUGCGGGAAACCGUGACAAGGGAACUCUGAGUGCCCGUUAAAUCGGGCUGUCCAUCGGUUUAAAUAACCGGUGAAGAAAGGGCCGGGCAAGACCGGUGCCAGCCGCCGCGGUAAUACCGGCGGCUCGAGUGGUGGCCACUAUUACUGGGCUUAAAGCGUUCGUAGCUGGUUUGUUAAGUCUCUGGGGAAAUCUUCCGGCUUAACCGGAAGGCGUCUCAGGGAUACUGGCAGACUAGGGACCGGGAGAGGUGAGAGGUACUCCAGGGGUAGGAGUGAAAUCCUGUAAUCCUUGGGGGACCACCUGUGGCGAAGGCGUCUCACCAGAACGGCUCCGACAGUGAGGGACGAAAGCUGGGGGAGCAAACCGGAUUAGAUACCCGGGUAGUCCCAGCUGUAAACGAUGCGCGUUAGGUGUAUCGGUGACCACGAGUCACCGAGGUGCCGAAGAGAAAUCGUGAAACGUGCCGCCUGGGAAGUACGGUCGCAAGGCUGAAACUUAAAGGAAUUGGCGGGGGAGCAC